AGAGUUUGAUCCUGGCUCAGAAUCAACGCUGGCGGCGUGCCUAACACAUGCAAGUCGAACGAGAAAGUGGUAGCAAUACCAUGAGUAAAGUGGCGCACGGGUGAGUAACACGUGACUAACCUACCCUGGAGUGGGGGAUAACUGAGGGAAACCUUAGCUAAUACCGCAUAAUACCCACGGGUCAAAGGAGCAAUUCGCUUUGGGAGGGGGUCGCGGCCGAUUAGUUAGUUGGCGGGGUAACGGCCCACCAAGACGAUGAUCGGUAUCCGGCCUGAGAGGGCGCACGGACACACUGGAACUGAAACACGGUCCAGACUCCUACGGGAGGCAGCAGUGGGGAAUUUUGCGCAAUGGGGGAAACCCUGACGCAGCAACGCCGCGUGGAGGAUGAAGUCCUUCGGGACGUAAACUCCUUUCGAUCGGGACGAUAAUGACGGUACCGGAAGAAGAAGCCCCGGCUAACUUCGUGCCAGCAGCCGCGGUAAUACGAGGGGGGCGAGCGUUGUUCGGAAUUAUUGGGCGUAAAGGGUGCGUAGGCGGUUUGGUAAGUCUUAUGUGAAAUCUAUGGGCUCAACUCAUAGACCGCAUGAGAAACUGCCGGGCUUGAGUGUGGGAGAGGUGAGUGGAAUUUCCCGGUGUAGCGGUGAAAUGCGUAGAUAUCGGAAGGAACACCUGUGGCGAAAGCGGCUCACUGGACCACAACUGACGCUGAUGCACGAAAGCUAGGGGAGCAAACAGGAUUAGAUACCCUGGUAGUCCUAGCCCUAAACCAUGACUGCUUGGUGUGACGGGUACCCAAUCCCGCCGUGCGUAGCUACGCGUUAGCAGUCGCUGGGGAGUACGUCGCAGCUGAACUCAAAGAUGACGGGCCGCACAGCGUGAGCAUGUGUUAUCG
rnacentral:rRNA from 1 species